UCGUUUCCACCCACCGGAAGCCCAAACCGCCACAUUUCCUCUGCUUUCCCCUGAGAAAACUAUCCCCAACUCUCCCAACUGAACCCUAGAAAAGCAUCCCAGCUCUCCAAGUGACCGUAGAAUGAAGCUGAGAAAAAAUGCAUCAUGCUCCUACAACUUGCUCAACCACAGUAACAAAUGGGCAACUUGCUCCCAGUUGUGACCAGACCACCGCAAUCUUGUUUGUCCCAGGUGUAUAAUAAGUGCCCGGCCACCACUCUCGCCAAAGCCAAAGGCCAAACCAUCGUCUACUCAUCUUUCUUCCUUCCUGAAUCCUAACCCAGCCAGGGCCAGCUCUCUCGCCAAAGCGCGCGCGCACCAUCCACGCUACGAGCCAAGAA
rnacentral:lncRNA from 1 species